rnacentral:rRNA from 1 species
CACGUAGGGUGCAAGCGUUGUCCGGAAUUAUUGGGCGUAAAGGGCUCGUAGGCGGUUUGUCGCGUCGGGAGUGAAAACACGGGGCUUAACCCCGUGCCUGCUUCCGAUACGGGCAGACUAGAGGUAUGCAGGGGAGAACGGAAUUCCUGGUGUAGCGGUGAAAUGCGCAGAUAUCAGGAGGAACACCGGUGGCGAAGGCGGUUCUCUGGGCAUUACCUGACGCUGAGGAGCGAAAGUGUGGGGAGCGAACAGG